rnacentral:tRNA from 1 species
GGAACGGCUGGUCGCACCGGACAACGGCCUGGGCGGCUGGAACCUGUCCUGGGAGCAGUGGCGGUCCGGCUCCGCGCUGCACUG